UUUAAUAAAUAAGCAUGUGUCAUUUCAAGGUUGCAUUCGUGAGCCACCGUUAAGACUUAUUCCAUAGAUGAUGAGGAAACAGUUUUCAACAAAGGAUGGGUCUGUUCAGGCUGAUGUGGCACGGCACUGGUUUGGAGCAUAGGUUUGAUGUAGAUUGCACCGGGUUUAAGGAAAUCAGUCAUUUGGUGCCUUGACAGAGAGGUAGUGAAAUGUUUGAUUGUCUGUUAAUCUGGAGUUUUGAAGUGGAGACAGAAAAGAAAUACGACUUAAUCUGACAAGUGUGACUAAUAUGAUCACAGCCCUUGGGAAAUUCGAUGGUUUUCUGGAGACAUCACUAAAGAAUACUGACUGAAAUUACUCCUGCCUGACAUAUGAGUCGCUCUCUACGCCAAGGCCACAAACUGUCGGGAUGAACAAAUACCAAGAUGAGUAUCUUUAGCUAGUUGUUCCAACUAGUCCAAUCACUGAUGACUCAGACACAUCUGCCAAAUGCAUAAGCUUAUUAGCAUUUUGGAGCCUCACAAGUCUCAUGAAAAAAUGAAAAAAAAAUCAAGAUCAGAUAAUGAAGGCAUCAUCCAGGAUUAGGGUUCUGAGAUGUAUCUGAUAUCAACAUGAUGUAAAAAUAGGGAUGCUUCAGCCAACAACACGGUUGAGAAGAAAAAUAGAAAGGACAAGUCCAAAACUAUGAAGAAAUGGGAGACAAUUGUAAAGCCAAAGUGCUGCACAUUGCCCUCGCUGAAGAGGGAGGGGCAAGUGGAGAGAAGGCAGCAGCAGGUUUAGCCAACCUCUUUCCUAUUUAAGAAAAAUCCUCAACAUGGAAGUUACAAUCUUACUGAAGUGUAAGGAGACCACAGACCUGAGCUUUGAUGAAGUAAGCUGCCAUAUGGAGAGGACCAUGUGCCAAGGCACUGAGAGUGGCUUGCAGCUAAUAGCCAGCAAGAAGCUGAUGUCUUCAGUCUAAUAACCUGAGGAAGAGAAUCCUACUAACAAUGAAGUGAGCUUUGAAGUACAUCGUUUCCUCAUCUAGUGUCAAGUGAGGCAGCCCUGGCUGAUGCCUUGAGUUUCAGCCUUGUGAAACACCCUGAAGCAGAGAACCCGUUAAAGCAUGCCCAGAGUUCUUAGCCAUGGAAAUUGUGAGAGUAUAUCUAUGUGUUGGUUCAAGCUGCUAAUCUUGUGGUUAUUUGUUACACAGCAAGAGAUAACUAAAUAACACACUUGCCCAGGGCCAUUCAACAGUAAGCUCAUGAGAAAGGAUAUGAAACUGGGCAGUUUGGCUCUCAUUUGGGAAAUUUAUGCUGGAAGGUUCAAUUUAAGAAGCAUUUUACACGAGAAUGUUUUCUUUUUUUACAUCAACAAUCACUCUUCUAAUACGAGUUACAACUAUAAAAUUUCUCAUCAUAAAAAGCCAAAAGUAAUGGGUUAGAUCUGGGAGUGAAGUACUUCUAUUUAGGGGAGUUAUUAGAUAUCUAUUUGCAUCAUUGAUAAAUAGAUAUUUUUAAGAUUGGCCUGGGUAGAGCAAAGACGUGGACUUUGCCUGCUACUGGCAUUUAGACAAACACAAUUUUAAUAUAGGCCCUUGUAGCAGUCGUUGUAUAUGGGAGAUUAUGGAGUUUCUGAUACUGGAUUUGCUCUAAGAGAGAAUAUUAUCUAGCGUAAUCAUCCACACUUUAAACAUGGCUCCAGAGUUGAACUAAAGUGAUAGUUCAGAGUAUGGCUUGGAGACAAAUACCAGUUCUAAAGGCAUCUGCAUGCUUUGCAUAGGAGGGGACUGUGUGGUACUUGAAAGAGCUAUUUCCCUUGAUGGCAAGACCCUGGGCUUUAUUCAAACGUGCUAAGGGACCCCACAAAAUAUAAGAUAGUAGAUAGAAUUUUUCUUUCUUGACAAAUGUAACAAGAGAAUUCCAGCUCUUCAGAGAGGAGACAUUACUCGUAAAGUGUCUGUGGAUAUGUCUGUGCCUGGGGCAAGAAGCCCAGUCCACUAAGUUAUGACAAGAACCAGCAAGCAGUACCCAUAAAUACUUGGGUGAAGGUGGGGAUGGGAGACUUUGUGGUCAAGAGAUGAUAAUUGUUAAAAAUCAACAACACACAAACCAUAGGCACUAAGUGGAGUCACUUAUGCUAGGUGAAACCACCAAACGGGCUUCAUAUCUAAUCUAAUUCCAAUCUCCCCUAGAAAUGCAGUCUUAACCAGUCCAUCAGGAAUUUUUUGGUCAGAACCAAUAAGGUAAUGUGUCACAUGGCCUUCUCCAUCCCCCAAAGGAAGAAGACUUAGUUCACCUAAUAAGGCCCUUUUGUCCCCAAAGGAGGGUGACUUCACCUAAAACAAUCCUUUUUUUUCUUUGUCUGUUUAUGACUUCCUUGUCCUGCCUUUGAAAACCUUUCCCUCUCUGUAGCGCCCUAUUUGCUAGAUACAAUAUUUCUUGAUUCAUUUAACAAAGCCAAUUAAAUCCUUAAAACUUGUUCAGUUUAAUUUUUGUUAUUUAACAGAGUUUCGGGAUUGGAGUGUAACGUAGGUGUAAAGACAUUUUCCAUGUAGGCUGAUAAAACUGGGACAUUUAGGAUAUACAAAGAUUAAAGAAAACAAAUAAGCUAUGAAAUGCCACAGCACACUUACUCACUUGUCCGUGCCCAAUCUCUCCUGUGUACAGUUGGUGAUCACUUUUUUGAAGAAACUUGUUCCUGAAUAUUUUAUGCUGUCAUGGAGUUAUCUGAAAAUACUGAAUAAAACCAUGGAAAUAAAUUAGUUUUGAAAA